AUUGAACGCUGGCGGCAGGCCUAACACAUGCAAGUCGAACGAGUGGCGGACGGGUGAGUAAUGUCUGGGAAACUGCCUGAUGGAGGGGGAUAACUACUGGAAACGGUAGCUAAUACCGCAUACCAUCGGAUGUGCCCAGAUGGGCUUAGCUAGUAGGUGGGGUAAAGGCUCACCUAGGCGACGAUCCCUAGCUGGUCUGAGAGGAUGACCAGCGACACGUGAACUGAGACACGGUCCGAACUCCUACGGGAAGCAGCAGUGGGGAAUAUUGCGCAGCUGGCGCAAGCCUGAUGCAGCCAUGCCGGGUGUAUGAAGAAGGCCUUCGGGUUGUAAAGUACUUCCAGCGUGGAGGCGUUACCCGCAGAAGAAGCACCAGCUAACUCCGUGCCAGCAGCCGCGGUAAUAC
rnacentral:rRNA from 1 species